GACAGAGGGUGCAAACGUUGCUCGGAAUCACUGGGCGUAAAGGGCGUGUAGGCGGGACAGUAAGUCGGGCGUGAAAUCCCUGGGCUCAACCCAGGAACUGCACUCGAAACUACUAUUCUUGAGUGUCGGAGAGGAAAGCGGAAUUCCUGGUGUAGAGGUGAAAUUCGUAGAUAUCAGGAGGAACACCAGUGGCGAAGGCGGCUU
rnacentral:rRNA from 1 species